CGGUCCACGGCCUGUGUCUUUAAGUGACUGGUAUGAGGAGAUAAGCUCACUCAACUGCUUGAGGCCCUUGUAAAGCCCAGCAUUUUCAGCUGGAGGUGUCAAAUAGCUAAUGGUGUUUGCGUAGCUUCGACGUUUUGCAAUGGUGGCUUCAGAUGGGUUAUUAGCUGCAUAAUAGUAGACAUUGGGGAUAUUCCCAAUGAGACUGUCAGGAUAACACACAUCACUCAUUCCCACUUGCUUUCCUGGCAUAAAUUCAAGUGAACCAUGAGUACCAAAAUGAAGUACUGUAUCAGCAUUGAAAAUUUUCUCUACAAAGGAGUAGUAAGCUGCAAAGCCAUGAUGUGGGCUAGCAGAUUUGGAGAAUAGCAGCCGCAUAGGAUCACCCUCGUAGCCAAAAGUAGGCUGGACUCCAAUGAAGACAUUACCAUACUGUUUUCCAUACACCAAGAGAUUCUCUCCAUCAGAAUUCAAAUUGCCUGGAGGUUUUCCCCAGUUUUCUUCCAAUGCUGUGGC
rnacentral:misc_RNA from 1 species